rnacentral:rRNA from 1 species
CCUACGGGAGGCAGCAGUGGGGAAUAUUGCGCAAUGGGGGGAACCCUGACGCAGCAACGCCGCGUGAAGGAAGAAGGCCUUCGGGUCGUAAACUUUUGUCUUCUGGGAAGAAAGAUGACGGUACCAGAGGAGGAAGCCACGGCUAACUACGUGCUAGCAGCCGCGGUAAUACGUAGGUGGCGAGCGUUGUCCGGAAUCACUGGGUGUAAAGGGUGCGUAGGCGGUAGGGCAAGUCAGAUGUGAAAGCCCGGGGCUCAACCCCGGGAUUGCAUUUGAAACUGUCUUACUAGAGUGCAGGAGAGGAAAGCGGAAUUCCUAGCGUAGCGGUGAAAUGCGUAGAUAUUAGGAAGAACACCAGUGGCGAAGGCGGCUUUCUGGACUGUAACUGACGCUGAGGCACGAAAGCGUGGGGAGCGAACAGGAUUAGAUACCCGUGUAGUC